rnacentral:rRNA from 1 species
ACUAAGCGUACACGGUGGAUGCCCUGGCAGUCAGAGGCGAUGAAGGACGUGCUAAUCUGCGAUAAGCGUCGGUAAGGUGAUAUGAACCGUUAUAACCGGCGAUUUCCGAAUGGGGAAACCCAGUGUGUUUCGACACACUAUCAUUAACUGAAUCCAUAGGUUAAUGAGGCGAACCGGGGGAACUGAAACAUCUAAGUACCCCGAGGAAAAGAAAUCAACCGAGAUUCCCCCAGUAGCGGCGAGCGAACGGGGAGCAGCCCAGAGCCUGAAUCAGUGUGUGUGUUAGUGGAAGCGUCUGGAAAGGCGCGCGAUACAGGGUGACAGCCCCGUACACAAAAAUGCACAUGCUGUGAGCUCGAUGAGUAGGGCGGGACACGUGGUAUCCUGUCUGAAUAUGGGGGGACCAUCCUCCAAGGCUAAAUACUCCUGACUGACCGAUAGUGAACCAGUACCGUGAGGGAAAGGCGAAAAGAACCCCGGCGAGGGGAGUGAAAAAGAACCUGAAACCGUGUACGUACAAGCAGUGGGAGCACGCUUAGGCGUGUGACUGCGUACCUUUUGUAUAAUGGGUCAGCGACUUAUAUUCUGUAGCAAGGUUAACCGAAUAGGGGAGCCGAAGGGAAACCGAGUCUUAACUGGGCGUUAAGUUGCAGGGUAUAGACCCGAAACCCGGUGAUCUAGCCAUGGGCAGGUUGAAGGUUGGGUAACACUAACUGGAGGACCGAACCGACUAAUGUUGAAAAAUUAGCGGAUGACUUGUGGCUGGGGGUGAAAGGCCAAUCAAACCGGGAGAUAGCUGGUUCUCCCCGAAAGCUAUUUAGGUAGCGCCUCGUGAAUUCAUCUCCGGGGGUAGAGCACUGUUUCGGCAAGGGGGUCAUCCCGACUUACCAACCCGAUGCAAACUGCGAAUACCGGAGAAUGUUAUCACGGGAGACACACGGCGGGUGCUAACGUCCGUCGUGAAGAGGGAAACAACCCAGACCGCCAGCUAAGGUCCCAAAGUCAUGGUUAAGUGGGAAACGAUGUGGGAAGGCCCAGACAGCCAGGAUGUUGGCUUAGAAGCAGCCAUCAUUUAAAGAAAGCGUAAUAGCUCACUGGUCGAGUCGGCCUGCGCGGAAGAUGUAACGGGGCUAAACCAUGCACCGAAGCUGCGGCAGCGACGCUUAUGCGUUGUUGGGUAGGGGAGCGUUCUGUAAGCCUGUGAAGGUGUGCUGUGAGGCAUGCUGGAGGUAUCAGAAGUGCGAAUGCUGACAUAAGUAACGAUAAAGCGGGUGAAAAGCCCGCUCGCCGGAAGACCAAGGGUUCCUGUCCAACGUUAAUCGGGGCAGGGUGAGUCGACCCCUAAGGCGAGGCCGAAAGGCGUAGUCGAUGGGAAACAGGUUAAUAUUCCUGUACUUGGUGUUACUGCGAAGGGGGGACGGAGAAGGCUAUGUUGGCCGGGCGACGGUUGUCCCGGUUUAAGCGUGUAGGCUGGUUUUCCAGGCAAAUCCGGAAAAUCAAGGCUGAGGCGUGAUGACGAGGCACUACGGUGCUGAAGCAACAAAUGCCCUGCUUCCAGGAAAAGCCUCUAAGCAUCAGGUAACAUCAAAUCGUACCCCAAACCGACACAGGUGGUCAGGUAGAGAAUACCAAGGCGCUUGAGAGAACUCGGGUGAAGGAACUAGGCAAAAUGGUGCCGUAACUUCGGGAGAAGGCACGCUGAUAUGUAGGUGAAGUCCCUCGCGGAUGGAGCUGAAAUCAGUCGAAGAUACCAGCUGGCUGCAACUGUUUAUUAAAAACACAGCACUGUGCAAACACGAAAGUGGACGUAUACGGUGUGACGCCUGCCCGGUGCCGGAAGGUUAAUUGAUGGGGUCAGCGCAAGCGAAGCUCUUGAUCGAAGCCCCGGUAAACGGCGGCCGUAACUAUAACGGUCCUAAGGUAGCGAAAUUCCUUGUCGGGUAAGUUCCGACCUGCACGAAUGGCGUAAUGAUGGCCAGGCUGUCUCCACCCGAGACUCAGUGAAAUUGAACUCGCUGUGAAGAUGCAGUGUACCCGCGGCAAGACGGAAAGACCCCGUGAACCUUUACUAUAGCUUGACACUGAACAUUGAGCCUUGAUGUGUAGGAUAGGUGGGAGGCUUAGAAGUGUGGACGCCAGUCUGCAUGGAGCCGACCUUGAAAUACCACCCUUUAAUGUUUGAUGUUCUAACGUUGACCCGUAAUCCGGGUUGCGGACAGUGUCUGGUGGGUAGUUUGACUGGGGCGGUCUCCUCCUAAAGAGUAACGGAGGAGCACGAAGGUUGGCUAAUCCUGGUCGGACAUCAGGAGGUUAGUGCAAUGGCAUAAGCCAGCUUGACUGCGAGCGUGACGGCGCGAGCAGGUGCGAAAGCAGGUCAUAGUGAUCCGGUGGUUCUGAAUGGAAGGGCCAUCGCUCAACGGAUAAAAGGUACUCCGGGGAUAACAGGCUGAUACCGCCCAAGAGUUCAUAUCGACGGCGGGGUUUGGCACCUCGAUGUCGGCUCAUCACAUCCUGGGGCUGAAGUAGGUCCCAAGGGUAUGGCUGUUCGCCAUUUAAAGUGGUACGCGAGCUGGGUUUAGAACGUCGUGAGACAGUUCGGUCCCUAUCUGCCGUGGGCGCUGGAGAACUGAGGGGGGCUGCUCCUAGUACGAGAGGACCGGAGUGGACGCAUCACUGGUGUUCGGGUUGUCAUGCCAAUGGCACUGCCCGGUAGCUAAAUGCGGAAGAGAUAAGUGCUGAAAGCAUCUAAGCACGAAACUUGCCCCGAGAUGAGUUCUCCCUGACUCCUUGAGAGUCCUGAAGGAACGUUGAAGACGACGACGUUGAUAGGCCGGGUGUGUAAGCGCAGCGAUGCGUUGAGCUAACCGGUACUAAUGAACCGUGAGGCUUAACC